rnacentral:rRNA from 1 species
UACGGGGGGGGCAAGCGUUGUUCGGAAUUACUGGGCGUAAAGGGCUCGUAGGCGGCCAACUAAGUCGGACGUGAAAUCCCUCGGCUUAACCGGGGAACUGCGUCCGAUACUGGAUGGCUUGAGGUUGGGAGAGGGAUGCGGAAUUCCAGGUGUAGCGGUGAAAUGCGUAGAUAUCUGGAGGAACACCGAUGGCGAAGGCAGGUCUCUGGGCCACUACUGACGCUGAGAAGCGAAAGCAUGGGGAGCGAACAGG